UCAGUCACAUGUUCUUAUACCGAAAAGAUUGAAGGAAAAAUAAACAACAUCGCCGUUAAAUCCAAGUUGUUGAUAAUAAAACGUUCCGUUUAUUGUAUGUCUGUACUUGUUACUUGAUACAGAACGAUAUAUAUACAUUAUUCAAAAGUUACCCACUGGUGUGUCCCAUGUUACAGAUUCUGAAACUCUUCUCCACAAAAAUAGCUUCGAGAAAGCAGUAAUCAUCACUGAAAAACAGGUUGGGAAGAGAUUGAUCCGGGCU
rnacentral:lncRNA from 1 species